rnacentral:rRNA from 1 species
CAUAAGACCCCUUAGAGACGAUGAGGUAGAUAGGGCAGAGGUGGAAGUACGGUAACGUAUGCAGCUGACUGUCACUAAUAGGUCGAAGGCUUAUCCAAA